rnacentral:rRNA from 1 species
GACGAACGCUGGCGGCGUGCCUAAUACAUGCAAGUAGAACGCUGAAGGAGGAGCUUGCUUCUCCGGAUGAGUUGCGAACGGGUGAGUAACGCGUAGGUAACCUGCCUGGUAGCGGGGGAUAACUAUUGGAAACGAUAGCUAAUACCGCAUAAGAGUAGAUGUUGCGUGACAUUUGCUUAAAAGGUGCAAUUGCAUCACUACCAGAUGGACCUGCGUUGUAUUAGCUAGUUGGUGAGGUAACGGCUCACCAAGGCGACGAUACAUAGCCGACCUGAGAGGGGGAUCGGCCACACUGGGACUGAGACACGGCCCAGACUCCUACGGGAGGCAGCAGUAGGGAAUCUUCGGCAAUGGACGGAAGUCUGACCGAGCAACGCCGCGUGAGUGAAGAAGGUUUUCGGAUCGUAAAGCUCUGUUGUAAGAGAAGAACGAGUGUGAGAGUGGAAAGUUCACACUGUGACGGUAUCUUACCAGAAAGGGACGGCUAACUACGUG